rnacentral:rRNA from 1 species
ACGAACGCUGGCGGCGUGCUUAACACAUGCAAGUCGAACGGAAAGGCCCUGCUUUUGUGGGGUGCUCGAGUGGCGAACGGGUGAGUAACACGUGAGUAACCUGCCCUUGACUUUGGGAUAACUUCAGGAAACUGGGGCUAAUACCGGAUAGGAGCUCCUGCUGCAUGGUGGGGGUUGGAAAGUUUCGGCGGUUGGGGAUGGACUCGCGGCUUAUCAGCUUGUUGGUGGGGUAGCGGCUUACCAAGGCUUUGACCGGUAGCCGGCCUGAGAGGGUGACCGGCCACAUUGGGACUGAGAUACGGCCCAGACUCCUACGGGAGGCAGCAGUGGGGAAUAUUGCACAAUGGGCGGAAGCCUGAUGCAGCAACGCCGCGUGCGGGAUGACGGCCUUCGGGUUGUAAACCGCUUUCGCCUGUGACGAAGCGUGAGUGACGGUAAUGGGUAAAGAAGCACCGGCUAACUACGUG